rnacentral:rRNA from 1 species
UACGGGGGGAGCAAGCGUUGUUCGGAUUUACUGGGCGUAAAGGGCGCGUAGGCGGUCGUGACAAGUCACUUGUGAAAUCUCCGGGCUUAACUCGGAACGGUCAAGUGAUACUGUCGGACUAGAGUACAGAAGGGGCAACUGGAAUUCUCGGUGUAGUGGUGGAAUGCGUAGAUAUCGGGAGGAACACCAGUGGCGAAGGCGGUUGCCUGGAGCUUUGCUGACGCUGAGGCGCGAAAGCGUGGGGAGCGAUCCGG